UACAGAGGUGGCAAGCGUUGUUCGGAAUUACUGGGCGUAAAGGGCGCGUAGGCGGCCUUCUAAGUCAGACGUGAAAUCCCCCCGGCUUAACCUGGGAACUGCGUCUGAUACUGGGAGGCUAGAGUGCGGGAGAGGGAUGCGGAAUUCCAGGUGUAGCGGUGAAAUGCGUAGAUAUCUGGAGGAACACCGGUGGCGAAGGCGGCAUCCUGGACCGACACUGACGCUGAGGCGCGAAAGCUAGGGUAGCAAACGGG
rnacentral:rRNA from 1 species